GACGAACGCUGGCGGCGUGCUUAACACAUGCAAGUCGAACGGAAAGGCCCUGCUUUUGUGGGGUGCUCGAGUGGCGAACGGGUGAGUAACACGUGAGUAACCUGCCCUUGACUUUGGGAUAACUUCAGGAAACUGGGGCUAAUACCGGAUAGGAGCUCCUGCUGCAUGGUGGGGGUUGGAAAGUUUCGGCGGUUGGGGAUGGACUCGCGGCUUAUCAGCUUGUUGGUGGGGUAGUGGCUUACCAAGGCUUUGACGGGUAGCCGGCCUGAGAGGGUGACCGGCCACAUUGGGACUGAGAUACGGCCCAGACUCCUACGGGAGGCAGCAGUGGAGAAUAUUGCACAAUGGGCGGAAGCCUGAUGAAGAAACGCCGCGUGCGGGAUGACGGCCUUCGGGUUGUAAACCGCUUUCGCCUGUGACGAAGCGUGAGUGACGGUAAUAGGUAAAGAAGCACCGGCUAACUACGUG
rnacentral:rRNA from 1 species